rnacentral:rRNA from 1 species
UGGGGAAUUUUGGACAAUGGGCGCAAGCCUGAUCCAGCCAUGCCGCGUGCGGGAAGAAGGCCUUCGGGUUGUAAACCGCUUUUGUCAGGGAAGAAAUCUUCUGAGUUAAUACCUCGGGAGGAUGACGGUACCUGAAGAAUAAGCACCGGCUAACUACGUGCCAGCAGCCGCGGUAAUACGUAGGGUGCAAGCGUUAAUCGGAAUUACUGGGCGUAAAGCGUGCGCAGGCGGUUUUGUAAGACAGAGGUGAAAUCCCCGGGCUCAACCUGGGAACUGCCUUUGUGACUGCAAGGCUUGAGUGCGGCAGAGGGGGGAUGGAAUUCCGCGUGUAGCAGUGAAAUGCGUAGAUAUGCGGAGGAACACCGAUGGCGAAGGCCAAUCCCCUGGGCCUGCACUGACGCUCAUGCACGAAAGCGUGGGGAGCAAAACAGGAUUAGAUACCCCUGGUAGUCCACGCCCUAAAACGAUGUCAACUGGUUGUUGGGAAGGUUCCUUCUCAGUAACGUAGCUAACGCGUGAAGUUGACCGCCUGGGGAGUACGGCCGCAAGGUUGAAAAC